GGGAAAUCUGCCCUGGCGGAUGGGUGCCGGAGUCAGUUCAUCCUGGGGACUGUGUGACGUCGUGGAGCUUGAGGACGUGUGGGUGUUCAAUGAGUUUCAGGAUGGCGAUCUCCCGCUCCACCUGCAGGAAGAGGAACGGAGGUCAGAGUGGCCUCCCUCCCUCCCGCCCGCCCGCAGCCCCAGAGGGUCCCUGCUCCCCUGGAGCACAGCACACCUUCAUCAGCACCGACUCGGACAGCUUCUCCCGGUUCACGAUCUUGAUGGCGACCUUCUGGCCCGUGAUGCAGUGGACCCCAAGUUUAACCAGACCUGGGGGAGUGGGAUUCAAAAUGUGGGGUGUGUGGCCAGAUCAUUCUCCCUGCUUCUGUCUCCUAAGCAGCCCCCCUCCCCAGACACCCCAUCUCCUCCUCCUUUCCCUGCUGGCUGUUUAAUGGUGGCUUGAAUCACCUGGACCUGAACUCCUGGGGGCUGGCAGCCACAAUUUCCACAAAAUACAGUUCUCUUCCUGCU